AUGGAUUUGAAACUUUUUUGUCAAGGCUCAUUUCAAGAAAGCCUGUGUAUAUUCAUCAGAUUUCUGGCCAUUUUGAUGUGGGAAACCUUGCUUCCUAUGUUUAACGUGACUGGUUCUUCAGAGAAGAUCUUCAAGGUGUGGGAAACCUUCCUUCCUAUGUUUAAUGUGACUGGUACUUCAGAGAAAACCUUUAAGAUGUGAUGUCUUACACAAUAUAGCUUACUCAGGUGCAUGUGUGAGAUUGACAAUGUGAAGAAAACAGCAACUUUGACUAUUACAAAAACAUAUCAAGAGUAAAUGUAUUCAAAUGAAUUAAAACAUGUCUGUUGAUACUGUGGCUCACUGUGACCCGAAUUACAAGCAUGACUUAGUUGGCUUAUGUCAAUACAGUGAACAAAGAUAACAUUCCUGAUUAAAUGUUCUGCUGACCUAAGUUGUGGGGAGUCUCUUGCACGUGUCUGACGCCUUCCCAU
rnacentral:lncRNA from 1 species